UGGGGAAUCUUGCGCAAUGGGCGAAAGCCUGACGCAGCAACGCCGCGUGAGGGAAGAAGGCUUUCGGGUUGUAAACCUCUUUCAGGAGGGACGAAGCCACCGGGGUUAAUAGCCCACGGGGUGACGGUACCUCCAGAAGAAGCCCCGGCUAACUACGUGCCAGCAGCCGCGGUAAUACGUAGGGGGCAAGCGUUGUCCGGAAUCAUUGGGCGUAAAGCGCGUGUAGGCGGCUUGGUAAGUCCGGUGUGAAACCCUGGGGCUCAACCCCAGGCCUGCAUCGGAUACUGCCUCGCUCGAGUUCGGGAGGGGAGAGCGGAAUUCCUAGUGUAGCGGUGAAAUGCGCAGAUAUUAGGAAGAACACCGGUGGCGAAGGCGGCUCUCUGGAACGAUACUGACGCUGAGACGCGAAAGCGUGGGUAGCGAACAGGAUUAGAUACCCUGGUAGUCCACGCCGUAAACGAUGGGCACUAGAUGUGGGCGGUGUCGACUCCGUCCGUGUCGCAGCUAACGCAUUAA
rnacentral:rRNA from 1 species